rnacentral:rRNA from 1 species
GUUCCAACCCGGGUUAGCCAGGGUGGGUUCUAUCCUUAUUUUAAUAAAGGGUUUUAGUACGAAAGGCCCAAAUCCUUGAAUUAUAAUUUUUUUUCCUGGAAUUUUAUUAAUUU